CAAAGAUGGAUCUGAAGAUCUCAGUUUUUCUUCUGUUCUUACUUUUUACUGCAGGACACUCUCUCAGCUGUUACAAGUGCACGAAUCUGUUGGGUUCUUGUGCAGAUCAAAAGGUAGAAACAUGUCCCAGUGGAUCUUAUAAGUGCUCGACUGUAACAACAGUGAUGCAAGUUGGUUCCGCUAAGGUGACCACCACAAUUAAAGGGUGUGCAAGUGACUGUAAACCUGUGACCACACAGAUAAUAUCUGGGACUGUAUCUGCCCAGUGCUGUGACUCUGAGCUUUGCAAUGCAGCAGAUGGGACGUGUAAGGGAAGCUUCCUCCUGCUGUUGUCUCCUCUGUUCUUCUACUUCCUGUUUCAGUGAGUCCAGCUGCACUUCAUAUUCAACAACUGCAGCAAAAACUGAAUGUCACACACAUUUCUAAAUAAAGUGUGCAUGUUCUGCUGUUCUUUGGUAUCAUGAUUUGAGGAAUGGAAAAUCUGUAUUUUAUUAAACAAAUAUUAACCAAAA